rnacentral:rRNA from 1 species
UACGUAGGGUGCAAGCGUUAAUCGGAAUUACUGGGCGUAAAGCGUGCGCAGGCGGUUAUGUAAGACAGGUGGGAAAUCCCAGGGCUUAACCUUGGAACUGCAUUUGUGACUGCAUAGCUAGAGUACGGUAGAGGGGGAUGGAAUUCCGCGUGUAGCAGUGAAAUGCGUAGAUAUGCGGAGGAACACCGAUGGCGAAGGCAGUCCCCUGGGCCUGUACUGACGCUCAUGCACGAAAGCGUGGGGAGCAAACAGG